GAGAUUUGAUCCUUGUCCCUGUGUCCUGGCGUCUGAGGGGUUUGCGGGCGGGAGGCUGUUACUGGGAGGUGGAGAAGCCGCGCUCGAUGGCAGUGGCCCCAACGUGGGGCAAGGCGGCACCAGAGGCAACGACGCUGUCUUCCAGGUCAAGUGAACGUGAAGUUAAAGAACAUGGAAAGAAGAAAACCUCUAACUGUUACUGGAGCUGAAGCAGAGAGGCCGGAUAACCACGGGCUAGG